rnacentral:rRNA from 1 species
GACGAACGCUGGCGGCGUGCUUAACACAUGCAAGUCGAACGGAAAGGCCUGCUUUCCCUUGUGGAUUGCGGGUACUCGAGUGGCGAACGGGUGAGUAACACGUGAGUGAUCUGCCCCCAACUUGGGUAUAAGCCUGGGAAACUGGGUCUAAUUCCCGAUAGGACUGCAGGGUGGUGCCUAUGGUGGAAAACGAUUUUCUAGUGGUUGGGGAUGAGCUCGCGGCCUAUCAGCUUGUUGGUGGGGUAAUGGCCUACCAAGGCGGCGACGGGUAGCCGGCCUGGGAGGGUGGACGGCCACAUUGGGACUGAGAUACGGCCCAGACUCCUACGGGAGGCAGCAGUGGGGAAUAUUGCACAAUGGGCGGAAGCCUGAUGCAGCGACGCCGCGUGGGGGAUGACGGCCUUCGGGUUGUAAACUCCUUUCGACCGCGAGGAAGCCACCUGGUUGGAAGGGUGGUGACGGUAGUGGUAGAAGAAGCACCGGCUAACUACGUG